CUCCCAACAGUUGCUUAAUAAUGACAGGCCCCUUCUCUUCUAACUCCCUAAUCACAGUUGCCUCUGUUGACUGGAAAAAAAAUGCCUCCCUCUUUUCUCUUACUUUUCCAUCUCUUUCACUCUCAUCCUUUCCGACAGCGUAGGCAGUUGAUGGACUAACCAUUGACCGAAUCCAGAAGAUGUUUUCGAGAGGGCUAUUUGCUGUUUCUCAACACCUGCAAUAAAUUUCUUUUAGAGGAUGAUGUAUCCUAAGUGAAACAACAAAAGUCACAAAGGUACUUUCAAAGCCCAUAAGGAAUAGAGUGCUUUGCUUUCGUGAUGCAAAUACGAAGUCUACAUUAGGCUAGAAGGACGGAUCAUGUUAUGGCAGGGUGAACAAUCAUAUACGAAGAUGGGGUAAUGUGAUGCGACUAUUGAGGGGUUGAAACAACUCGGUAAGAAGGUUAAAGAAAAGGCCAUUCACUCUUUUCUCUGCCUUCAUUUAAUGUCUUUUCCAGUUGUUUCAUUCAAAAUUUAUCCUACUUUUCCUACCACACCUACUUCGAAACUCAUUUAUACAUGUGAUUUGUUUACACGGGAGAAGUAUCUACAAUGUUUGUAGGAAUACAUGAAAAUGAGACAAUAUAAACAUAAUUUAUUUUUGUGAAUGUAAUGCAUAUAGAUGCAUUAAUUUAAAUGA